UCCCUUAUAGCUCAGUUGGUAAAGAAUCUGCCUGCAGUGCAGGAGACCUGGGUUCAAUUCCUAGGUAGGGAA
rnacentral:tRNA from 1 species